rnacentral:misc_RNA from 1 species
UCCGGUUUAACACCGGCAGUCUCGUUAGAGUGCCCGGCCGAACCGCUGGCAACUAACGACAAGGGUUGCGCUCGUUGCGGGACUUAACCCAACAUCUCACGACACGAGCUGACAACAGCCAUGCAGCACCUGGACACCUGGUUCCCUUGCGGGCACAUCUCCAUCUCUGGAAACUUCCAGGGGGUUCCAACCCAGGUAAGGUUCUUCGCGUUGCGUCGAAUUGAACCACAUGCUCCGCCGCUUGUGCGGGCCCCCGUCAAUUCCUUUGAGUUUUAACCUUGCGGCCGUACUCCCCAGGCGGUCAACUUCACGCGUUAGCUACGGUACCCAGGAAUCGCUUCCCGAACACCCAGUUGACAUCGUUUAGGGCGUGGACUAC